UGGGGCGAAGGAGGGAUUUGGGGGUGGCCAGGACCGGAGGGGUUGGGCCGCGUGCCCGGUUACCUGGCGAACAAAGUCGGCUCACUUUUGCAUAAAUAAAUAAAUAGUCGCCUAUCAAUGCGUUUCCUCUGGGGCUCUGAUUGAAUAGGGCCCCCUCUUCCCCAGGGGGUGGGGUGCUGAGUGACAGCUGUCAGCCCCCUGGGCCGGGAGCUGGGGGUGAAUUGCUGAAUCCCUAUGCCUUUUGGCUAAGGGCGCCUUCUCCUGCUGGGUCCUGGUCCCCCGGCAGAGCCAGAGGGGCAGGGGGCUGGCUCUGAGUCUAGGAAAUAACCUUGUUUCCUGUUCUACAGGAAAAGGGACAGUGACCCAGAGUUUGGGGGCUGGGGAUGAGGACUAAUGGGAGCUGGAGGGGUUCUCUAGCAGCCUGACCCCCCCAGCCUCCUGCCAGGCGAAGGGGCCAGCUGAGGGAGGAAGGAUGUGGGCCUUGCUGGCCGGAGGCGGGAGCUGGGGCUGUCCCUGAGGCGGGCAGCGGGCACAGAGCGGGAGGAGGGAGAGAGAGAGAGAGAGAGAGAGAGAGAGAAGCGGGGGCGGGAAUUCUCUACCGCAGACCCUGGGGGCCAGGGCCAGAUGUGGAGGGGUGGGGAGUCCCCCCUCCCUCCUAGCUUGGGGGCCCUGAGGCUGGGCUGGGAGGGGCUGAGCCUGGUGCCCUCGGUUCUGCACCAGUGCCUGACUGGCAGGGCCAGCUGAAUUUGGGCCCAGGCGUCACCCUGGGAGGCAGGGCCAGGCUGCACCAGCCUGGUCCCUGAGCACAAGGAGGGACCCUUGGGGGGCCUGUGCCUGUCUGGCUGGGCAGGCGUUUCCCGCCGGACCAGUUGGUGUCAGGCGGGACUUGGCCCCAGCUCCCUGGGCAGAGCUCAGGGUGUGAGGACAAGCUUUGCCUCCGGGUCAGGGUGGCCACAUUUUGUCCGCUGCUGCUGCUGCUGCUGCUGGCGGGGCGGGGGCAUGUGCCCGGGCCUGGGCAGAGUCCUGCCAGGAGUAUUUGGGGUGUUUCUAUUGUUGGCUUGUUCCUGUUCCGUGUGGCCCCGUGCCUGUGUGUGUGUGUGUGUGUGUGUGUGUGUGUUGCUGUGUGAGCUUGGGGCAGAGGCCCAGCCUCUCUGGGCAGGGGCAGGGUGGGGGCCCAGGGCCAAGGAGUCUGGAAGAACCCAGAAAGCCCUGUCCUUGUGUCCCACCCCCUGGCCCUCACAGGUUAGCUGGUAGCUGGCUCAGCCAAUCCAGGCCAGAGAAGGCUGGCCUGCUCUAUAGGGGCUUCACCCAUUCUGGCUCCUCCAUUUUGCAGAUGGAGUCACCGAGUCCAGAGAGGGAAGGAUGGCCAAGGCCAGCCAGCUGAUGAACCCCUCCUUCCUUCCUGCCCCAUUCUGCUGUCACUCAGGCUCUUCUCAGCCUCAGCUCAGCUAAGAGCAGGGCCUGGGGGGGGGGGGGGGGGGGGAUGUUUGGGAAAGUGGUUGCGGCUGAGAGGUUGCCAUGGCGAUGCUGCAGGAUGCCGAGCUGAAGUGGGGGUCCUACAGGGUCUCUGGGGCCCCCAGCUCCACACCCCUGUGGUCUUCUCCUCCCCAUCUCCUGUCCCCCACCCAGAUGCCUGUCAGGCGGCUUUGGUGACAGGCCGGGUGGGUGACAGGUGGUGCAGGUGAUGGGCUGGGUGGGUGACGAGCUGGGUGGGUGACAGGUGGUGCGGGUGCGAGGCAGGCAGGUGACAAGCUGGGUGGUGACGGGCCCUGCUGAUGACAGGCAGGGGGUGUGGUUGGCGAGGAUGCCGUCUCCUGGCUGGUGGCCUGUUGCAGCCCCCCACCCUCAUGCGUGUGCACACACAUAGACUCUGGGCACAGAGCUUGGGGCUAAGAUACUAAUGAGGCUUAUUACGUGUGGAGGGGCAGGUGCCCAGGCUCACUAAUGAGAGGCCUUUAACAAAUAGGGGAGACAGCUGGGGGCUUCAAGGAAUUUGGCUGGCCCUCCUGAGCUGGGGCCCUGGG
rnacentral:lncRNA from 12 species